rnacentral:snoRNA from 2 species
AAGCCGAUGAUGACAAAAUCAAAUUGGAAUUACCGUCUGAAUAAUUUGAUGUAAAUUUCUUGGCUGUGGUACUGAGGCUUCAA